UCCAAACACAAUCGAAGUGUUCAGAGUGUAUUGCGAGCGUGCCAUGAAGCUACAAGUGUUGUGUGUGUGCGCGCUGCUCUGUGCUGUGGCGUGUCGCAGUCUGGACGAGGGGAGGCAGGGACAUAUCCCGACUGCGCAGCUUGAUGACGGUGAUGUCAUGAGCAGGGCGAAAAGACAUAACAUCGAUUCUCCUAAGUGUCCUAAGGACACAAAAUUAUGUUUUGGACUUUGCAUGAACAGUACGGAGUGCGAAGAGGUGACGGGGAAAAAAUUACCGUCAUCCUGGCGUCCAGGUGGACCCGACGAAGAGUCUUUGACAACCUAAUAAAUGAUUUUGUGCGUCAAUACAAUUUGCUUUUAACAUUUUUAUCCAAGAUUAAAAAUAUAUUAUACUUACUUAAAUGAUGAUUUAUAUAAAAUAAAUGCAAAAAAAAUCAUAAUACAUUUUCUUAAUUGACUUUUGACAAAAAUAUUUCCUGUUAAAAAUCUUGCAAGUGCUGUAUAUUUUUUUGGUUAAAGUAACAUAACAUUGGACAUUGUCAUUGUUCUAAAUAUUAAAUAUGUUGAGGGCAAGAAGCCUGUUGAUUGCUGAUUUAUCCCGAAAGUUAAAUAAAGGAAGAACCAUGAAUUAUUGUCUUUUCUAAUUUUUAGAGUGAAAAUUUUAAAUUUCAUUUUUGCAACAUUAAUAAAAACAAACAGAGGACAUUGUAAUAGUAAGCCAGCGAUAUGUUACAAAUAAUUUUGUAGCACUGAAAUAAUUGUCAAUAAAUGUUUUAUUUUUUUUUAAAUAUAAGCAUCACUUAAUUAGGGGACCCUAUCUGUUACUAACAAUUUAUUGUAAACACUAAUAUUUAUGUUUAUUUACAUUUUGAACCAAAACAUGUUUAUCUAUGCGAAAUAAACGUAUUCCAUAAUCAAUAUUUUGUACUAAAACAUUUGCAAUAAAUAUAUGAAAAAA